rnacentral:pre_miRNA from 1 species
UCUACUUUCCUGAUGUGCAUCAUGUGUUCUGAUGUUACAUCUUGCAUGUGAUGUUUUCAUUCUAUUCCUUGUGUUAGAUCUAACACCAGAACAGAUGGUACACCUCAGGAAAGUAG